UCCCAGUUUGGCCGGGCAGUCUCCUGUGACACAUGUAACACAGGACAGGGGUUGCGCUCGUUGCGGGACUUAACCCAACAUCUCACGACACGAGCUGACGACAACCAUGCACCACCUGUAAACCGACCGCAAGCAGGGCACCUGUUUCCAGGUCUUUCCGGUUCAUGUCAAGCCUUGGUAAGGUUCUUCGCGUUGCAUCGAAUUAAACCACAUACUCCACCGCUUGUGCGGACCCCCGCCAAUUCCUUUGAGUUUCAAUCUUGCGAUCGUACUUCCCAGGUGGAUCACUUAAUGCUUUAGCUCAGACACCAACUGUAUAUCGCUGAUGUCGAGUGAUCAUCGUUUAGGGCGUGGACUAC
rnacentral:misc_RNA from 1 species